AUAGCUCACUGGUCGAGUGAUCCUGCGCCGAAGAUUUCCGGGGCUAAAACUUACUACCGAAGCUACGGCAUCAGUAAUGAGGGGUAGGGGAGCUUCCCAUACGGGUUGAAGCAUGACCGUAAGGACAGGUGGACAGUAUGGGAGUGAGAAUGUUGGCAUGAGUAGCGAGAUGUGGGUGGGAAUCCCACAGGCCGUAAACCCAAGGUUU
rnacentral:rRNA from 1 species